GAAUCUGCCUGGUAGUGGGGGAUAACGUCCGGAAACGGACGCUAAUACCGCAUACGUCCUACGGGAGAAAGCAGGGGACCUUCGGGCCUUGCGCUAUCAGAUGAGCCUAGGUCGGAUUAGCUAGUUGGUGGGGUAAUGGCUCACCAAGGCGACGAUCCGUAACUGGUCUGAGAGGAUGAUCAGUCACACUGGAACUGAGACACGGUCCAGACUCCUACGGGAGGCAGCAGUGGGGAAUAUUGGACAAUGGGCGAAAGCCUGAUCCAGCCAUGCCGCGUGUGUGAAGAAGGUCUUCGGAUUGUAAAGCACUUUAAGUUGGGAGGAAGGGCAGUAAAUUAAUACUUUGCUGUUUUGACGUUACCGACAGAAUAAGCACCGGCUAACUCUGUGCCAGCAGCCGCGGUAAUACAGAGGGUGCAAGCGUUAAUCGGAAUUACUGGGCGUAAAGCGCGCGUAGGUGGUUCGUUAAGUUGGAUGUGAAAUCCCCGGGCUCAACCUGGGAACUGCAUUCAAAACUGACGAGCUAGAGUAUGGUAGAGGGUGGUGGAAUUUCCUGUGUAGCGGUGAAAUGCGUAGAUAUAGGAAGG
rnacentral:rRNA from 1 species